UCGCCUGCCUCGGCGAUUCGCUUUCAUUUCGCCCAACUAGGGCGAAUUUCGUCUCCAUUCAACCUCAAUGAGAGCGACGCGAAAUUUCGUUGUGUGGAAACACACCAUUACAAUUUGCCCAUGUCACGUGAGCGCCAUUUUGAACAUUUUCAGCGCAAAAACGAGGCUGAGGUGGUAGAGAGUUCGAAACAUUGUUGCUGUGAGUGAGUGAACGUGAAUGGAUAAAAUUAAUGCGGAGGAGUGAUGUCUUAUGGUACUUACUGCUGUGUACCGGGCUGUAAUUCUUAUCAUCGACGGAACAAAGAAUUAUCUUUUUAUCGUUUUCCAAGAGACACAGACAUCCGUCGGCAGUGGAUAGUAAAAAUAAAACGUGACGUUGGACCACAUUUUCAGAUUACAGACAAUACAAGGGUGUGCUCCAUUCAUUUCACCAAUGAUUGCAUCGUUAGGUCACUCGUAGGUUUAAAAAAACUGAAGAGUGGGAGUGUGCCGUCUCUGUUUUCAUGGUGUCAGCCGAAAGUCAGAAGGGUCAUUCAACGCCACCAAAGUGAUACUGGUAACAUUGGUGAGGAAAACAUUUCAGAUAGGCCUCUGCAUGAUGAGGAAAAUUCCAUACAGGUUUCAGAGGCAGUGCCUGACCAUGUCUAUGUGGUGAACUCCUUGUCUGUGGAAGAACAGCUUGAAGCGGCAAAGAGAGAGAUUGCCCGUCUGGAGGAGGAAAACCAAAGUUUGAGACGGGAGCAGU